GCGCCAGUAGCUCAGCUGGAUAGAGUACCUGGCUACGAACCAGGCGGUCGGAGGUUCGACUCCUUCCUGGCGCGCCA
rnacentral:tRNA from 1 species